GAAUUCUAUGAACAUGUUAACUAAUGCAUUCAACUGUCCAAUAUUCUCAGGUACCAGUCUUGUAAGAUUUAUUGCAACAAUUUCUGGUGAGGAUUAUUGUAAGCUCACAUUGCAGGCCAGUCCUUAAGAGCUUACAAUAAUCCUUUUGUUGUCAGAAAUUUGUGAGGAGUUUACAGGAUCUACAUUUGAGCAUAUUGAACAGUUGAAUGCUAGUUAAUAUGUAAGCAGAAUUC
rnacentral:pre_miRNA from 1 species